rnacentral:rRNA from 1 species
AGCUACAGGCUUAACACAUGCAAGUCGAGGGGCAGCAUGGUCUUAGCUUGCUAAGGCCGAUGGCGACCGGCGCACGGGUGAGUAACACGUAUCCAACCUGCCGUCUACUCUUGGACAGCCUUCUGAAAGGAAGAUUAAUACAAGAUGGCAUCAUGAGUCCGCAUGUUCACAUGAUUAAAGGUAUUCCGGUAGACGAUGGGGAUGCGUUCCAUUAGAUAGUAGGCGGGGUAACGGCCCACCUAGUCUUCGAUGGAUAGGGGUUCUGAGAGGAAGGUCCCCCACAUUGGAACUGAGACACGGUCCAAACUCCUACGGGAGGCAGCAGUGAGGAAUAUUGGUCAAUGGGCGAGAGCCUGAACCAGCCAAGUAGCGUGAAGGAUGACUGCCCUAUGGGUUGUAAACUUCUUUUAUAAAGGAAUAAAGUCGGGUAUGGAUACCCGUUUGCAUGUACUUUAUGAAUAAGGAUCGGCUAACUCCGUGCCAGCAGCCGCGGUAAUACGGAGGAUCCGAGCGUUAUCCGGAUUUAUUGGGUUUAAAGGGAGCGUAGAUGGAUGUUUAAGUCAGUUGUGAAAGUUUGCGGCUCAACCGUAAAAUUGCAGUUGAUACUGGAUAUCUUGAGUGCAGUUGAGGCAGGCGGAAUUCGUGGUGUAGCGGUGAAAUGCUUAGAUAUCACGAAGAACUCCGAUUGCGAAGGCAGCCUGCUAAGCUGCAACUGACAUUGAGGCUCGAAAGUGUGGGUAUCAAACAGGAUUAGAUACCCUGGUAGUCCACACGGUAAACGAUGAAUACUCGCUGUUUGCGAUAUACAGCAAGCGGCCAAGCGAAAGCGUUAAGUAUCCCACCUGGGGAGUACGCCGGCAACGGUGAAACUCAAAGGAAUUGACGGGGGCCCGCACAAGCGGAGGAACAUGUGGUUUAAUUCGAUGAUACGCGAGGAACCUUACCCGGGCUUAAAUUGCAGAUGAAUUACGGUGAAAGCCGUAAGCCGCAAGGCAUCUGUGAAGGUGCUGCAUGGUUGUCGUCAGCUCGUGCCGUGAGGUGUCGGCUUAAGUGCCAUAACGAGCGCAACCCUUGUUGUCAGUUACUAACAGGUUCCGCUGAGGACUCUGACAAGACUGCCAUCGUAAGAUGUGAGGAAGGUGGGGAUGACGUCAAAUCAGCACGGCCCUUACGUCCGGGGCUACACACGUGUUACAAUGGGGGGUACAGAGGGCCGCUACCACGCGAGUGGAUGCCAAUCCCCAAAACCUCUCUCAGUUCGGACUGGAGUCUGCAACCCGACUCCACGAAGCUGGAUUCGCUAGUAAUCGCGCAUCAGCCACGGCGCGGUGAAUACGUUCCCGGGCCUUGUACACACCGCCCGUCAAGCCAUGGGAGCCGGGGGUACCUGAAGUGCGUAACCGCGAGGAGCGCCCUAGGGUAAAACUGGUGACUGGGGCUAAGUA